rnacentral:rRNA from 1 species
CUCCCUCGUUGCUGAUCUCAGGCUCGAUAAUGCCAAUAUCGCACCACCUCGCCUAAAACCAACUUCGAUGAAGCGACGGGCGGUGUGUG